rnacentral:rRNA from 1 species
CCUACGGGAGGCAGCAGUGGGGAAUUGUUCGCAAUGGGCGCAAGCCUGACGACGCAACGCCGCGUGGAGGAUGAAGGUCUUCGGAUUGUAAACUCCUGUUGCCCGGGACGCGGUACCGGGUGAGGAAGCCCCGGCUAACUCUGUGCCAGCAGCCGCGGUAAUACAGAGGGGGCAAGCGUUGUUCGGAAUUACUGGGCGUAAAGGGCGCGUAGGCGGCCCGCUAAGUCGAACGUGAAAUCCCCGGGCUCAACCCGGGAACUGCGUCCGAUACUGGCAGGCUUGAAUCCGGGAGAGGGAUGUGGAAUUCCAGGUGUAGCGGUGAAAUGCGUAGAUAUCUGGAGGAACACCGGUGGCGAAGGCGGCAUCCUGGACCGGAUUGACGCUGAGGCGCGAAAGCCAGGGGAGCAAACGGGAUUAGAUACCCUUGUAGUC